UACGGAGGGGGCUAGCGUUGUUCGGAAUUACUGGGCGUAAAGCGCACGUAGGCGGCUUUGUAAGUUAGAGGUGAAAGCCCGGAGCUCAACUCCGGAAUUGCCUUUAAGACUGCAUCGCUAGAAUUGUGGAGAGGUGAGUGGAAUUCCGAGUGUAGAGGUGAAAUUCGUAGAUAUUCGGAAGAACACCAGUGGCGAAGGCGACUCACUGGACA
rnacentral:rRNA from 1 species